CCGCCCCCGCCCCCGCCCUUCCUCUUUGUGCGCGCUGCCGUCACGGCCGCCGAACGCACGCCAGGCUCACCCGUGCUCGGGUCAGCCCUGGUCGCGCGCCCUUCGACUUGGUCCCCACCUUUGCACCGGCCGCCGUCUCUCGGAUCCGCUGCCAGGCCUUAACCCACAGCCAGACCCACGCACACGGCAGAUCCUAGCGGCAGUGCAGCUCCAUCCACAGUCCACCCCUGCGCUCCAACAUGACACACCUCCGCAGAUCAAGCAGAGUCACACAGCUCGUCACCGGCACCAACAGGCAGGCGUAUGCAUCUCUCAUCCUUCCCUGUCCUUCUCCUAAUUUUCCUCCCCUUCUUGCUAUGUUUGAAUCGGUUGGUCCUAUGCCUGAUCUGCAGCAUCCGUGUAAUUCUAAUAUGUGCUUCUUAAGUGUUCGAUGGUAUUCCGCUAAGAAGAGGCUAGGUCCAAUCCCAUGUGCAUCUUGGAGGCAUGAGAUGUAUAACCAGGUCUCUUGUUUGCCUGUAAUUGAUUCUUUAGACUGCCAAACAGAACGUAUGUGAAACCCUGCAAUUAAUGAUAAUUUCUCUAGAACUAUAGUUUUUAUCCAUACGAAUUUGCAAUACAAACUAAUGUUUAGUCAUAAAAAAAGAUAUAUCCUUUUGCUUUUCAAGGAAAGUAGUAUUAUCUUUGGAAAUAAAUUUUAUUAAUAAAGUGUGUGUUAAAAUUAUUCUAGCAUUUUUCAAAAUGCAGAUAGCUUUGCAAAAAAAAAAGAUAAAAUGGGUUUUGUAAAUGGUCCUAUAUGUAUCCUUUUCCUGGUAAAGAUGAAGCACGUGUGUAUUCUGAAAGUUUUAUAUGGAAAUCAAAGAGGUCGAUUGAGUUUUGGUCCGAAGCGAUUUCAUUUGACUCCAGAAUGCAAUUUGACUCCAAGGCGAUUUCAUUUUUCUCUAAACUUCACUAAACUCCUGGUAUAGAGGUCUUUGGAAAAACUGGGGACAUAUAUGAGUAGCUGAAAGAUUAUGAACAAAAGCAAUAUUACUAUUAUAUGAUUAAAGCAUACAUUUACUGAUAUAUUUUUUCGUCCAUGCUGGCUGCAACGCAGAUGCCUCAGGAGGCUGCUGGUUGGUUUCAGGGCACAAUAGAUGUUGUUAGAAAAUUUAUAUGGGUACUUAAGUUCGUUAGCAUGGAGACACACUAUCUACUCUCAUGAUGUGCUGAUGGUACUAUUGUAGCUAGGAAGAUCGGUCUAGCAAAGGAGAGGGGUCUCUACGUUGCACCUCUAGGAUGCAUAAAAGGGAUCACCUGCCGGAAGGAUGGUGUACGAUACUAUUGCAAUUUUUGCUUGUACUUCUUCGGAUUGUAUUGUUGUUAUUUGGGAGAUGGCAAUUCAGCCCACCGCCACUUGUAAGAUUUUCUUCCUUGUGGAUUGACAUUAUUACUAUUAGGAGCCAAAAUUUUUGCGGUGCUGGUUUCACUAUUCAAACUCAAAUUAUUUUUAUUUUAUGAUUUUGACGGUUCUUGGAAAUAUGGACUGCAUUUGUACCUAACUUUGCUCAUCUCAGGAGAGAACCACUCGGAUAUGGAAAAUGACUUCACAAGCUGCUUCUUCUGGCUUGCUCUAUUAGCCAAUGAAAAUGUUUGAUCUCAACACUAUUGGACCAUAUACUUCAUAUUUUAAGUGGUGUUUACCCUUGCCAUGAAAAUGUUCUAUAUCUUCAGUACUAGAUAUUGUGUUCCCUGAUAUGCUUUUUUCUUGACUUUGAAAAUGUAUACUUUGAGAAAAGGUAUACUUAAUAUGGCAUAGGAUUCAUAAGUUAACUUUAGAUUUAAUAUAGUCGUAGAGUUAGCACGGGCAGUAUACUAUUAGACUAAUCAGUGACUGUCCCCUAGGAUUAGCAAGAAAGAAAAAGCUUGCAUAAUUUAAGGGUUCUGUGAGUACUUUGAAGACAAGUGGAUUGUGGACAUGAUAGGGUUUGGCACUUCGUUAACUGCAUUUUUUACAAUUUCAUAUAUUGUUUUUGACUGGAAUGUUAUAUAUAUCAAAUUACACUAGAUAUGGAGAUAUGGAGAAUGUUAUAAUAUAUAUGCAAAGCCAUGAUUAGUCACCAGGAACCACUUAGUGGCUCCUAGAAACUAUCCACGACUUAGGCAACUGACCACUAAUAACUAUGACCAAUCACCCACUAACACCACACACCUGUCCUCCUAAAGACUAGCUAGGACAUUGCUACCUGUAAAACUGAAACAGACAACUAUUUACACUUUACUCUAUCUACUGCUAUUGAAUAAUGUGCAUGGAGUACAGCCGACAGAUUGUUGCUGAGCAGAGAGAUAUUAUGAAGAAAGCAUAGUCCAAGCAAGGAGUUUCUCAGUGCUCAAGAUUUACAGAUUUGCAAGAUAUACAUUUGCUAACCAUAUUGGUCAAUGUUAUCAAGUUGUUUUCCAUCUAAAUAGUAUCAAUUUUGUUAGUUAAAGGUGCUAAGUUGGGCACAUUUAGAGUAUUUAGUCACAUUGCAGGGAUUGAUUUGGUAGAAAGAUUAUCCUACUGUCUUUGAUUAAAGGAUGUAAUGUUGAAACUCUUAGCUGGACAGGAGUAGGGGGGGAGUAAUUAGAUCCUUGAUAUAGUUUAGUGAUUUCUUGUGGAGGACAAAAAGAAAUGGUCUUUUAGCGUCAGGUGAACUGAAGUGUUAUACCAAUGAGUUAGUAUUUGCUUUUUUUUCUCGGGUUCAAUGAUGAGGGAGUGAACUACAUGAUCCACCUUUUAAUUUUAUUUUACUGCUUUGUCAUUUUUUGUGAGACUUGUAGGCUGAACUUGCACGGUGAAGUGUAGAAGUUGUUCUCAUGGUAAAAAUA